UCGGGAAUUUUGGGCAAUGGGCGAAAGCCUGACCCAGCAACGCCGCGUGAGUGAAGAAGGCCUUCGGGUUGUAAAGCUCUUUUGUCAGGGAAGAAACGGUAGUAGCGAAUAACUAUUACUAAUGACGGUACCUGAAGAAUAAGCACCGGCUAACUACGUGCCAGCAGCCGCGGUAAUACGUAGGGUGCAAGCGUUAAUCGGAAUUACUGGGCGUAAAGCGUGCGCAGGCGGUUGUGUAAGUCAGAUGUGAAAUCCCCGGGCUCAACCUGGGAAUUGCAUUUGAGACUGCACGGCUAGAGUGUGUCAGAGGGGGGUAGAAUUCCACGUGUAGCAGUGAAAUGCGUAGAUAUGUGGAGGAAUACCGAUGGCGAAGGCAGCCCCCUGGGAUAACACUGACGCUCAUGCACGAAAGCGUGGGGAGCAAACAGGAUUAGAUACCCCCGUAGUCCCUGAGCGGGCUGGCAAGGCGCAU
rnacentral:rRNA from 1 species